UCGAACGGCAGCGCGGGGCAACCUGGGCGGAGAGUGGCGAACGGGUGAGUANNNNNNCGGAACGUACCCUGGAGUGGGGGAUAACGUAGCGAAAGUUACGCUAAUACCGCAUACGAUCUAAGGAUGAAAGCAGGGGACCGCAAGGCCUUGUGCUCCUGGAGCGGCCGAUAUCUGAUUAGCUAGUUGGUAGGGUAAAAGCCUACCAAGGCAUCGAUCAGUAGCUGGUCUGAGAGGACGACCAGCCACACUGGAACUGAGACACGGUCCAGACUCCUACGGGAGGCAGCAGUGGGGAAUUUUGGACAAUGGGCGCAAGCCUGAUCCAGCAAUGCCGCGUGAGUGAAGAAGGCCUUCGGGUUGUAAAGUUCUUUUGUCAGGGAAGAAACGGUGAGGGCUAAUAUCCUUUGCUAAUGACGGUACCUGAAGAAUAAGCACCGGCUAACUACGUGCCAGCAGCCGCG
rnacentral:rRNA from 1 species